rnacentral:rRNA from 1 species
UACGGAGGGUGCAAGCGUUAUCCGGAUUUAUUGGGUUUAAAGGGUGCGUAGGUGGAAUUAUAAGUCAGUGGUGAAAGUUUGCGGCUCAACCGUAAAAUUGCCAUUGAAACUGUAGUUCUUGAGAGAAUUCGAGGUAUGCGGAAUGUGUUGUGUAGCGGUGAAAUGCAUAGAUAUAACACAGAACACCGAUUGCGUAGGCAGCGUACCAGGAUUUUUCUGACACUGAUGCACGAAAGCGUGGGGAGCGAACAGG